rnacentral:rRNA from 1 species
UACGUAGGUGGCAAGCGUUGUCCGGAUUUACUGGGUGUAAAGGGCGUGCAGCCGGGCUGACAAGUCAGAUGUGAAAUCCCGCGGCUCAACCGCGGAACUGCAUUUGAAACUGUUAGUCUUGAGUACCGGAGAGGUCAUCGGAAUUCCUUGUGUAGCGGUGAAAUGCGUAGAUAUAAGGAAGAACACCAGUGGCGAAGGCGGCCUGCUGGACUGCAACUGACGUUGAGGCCCGAAAGCGUGGGGAGCAAACAGG